AAGCCCGUGAAAAGGGCAUAAUCUUAACAAAUCAUUAUAACGUUCUCACGCGUCAAACAGCGAUUCCUCAUCUUCUUGUCUAAAGUUAUUAAUCUCAUUCCUAACUU